UUUCGUGCCAAGGCUAUUUUGCCUUUGUUUAAUUAUCAGCCAGCUCCCGGGACGUGGAGCAGCCCGGACAGGUUCUCUUUUGUACGGCUGCACAAAGCCAGGAGGCCGGGCUGCAGGGGGCAAGGGAGACCUGGGAACCCACAACUUGGGCACCGUGUGCUCAAACGGGUGCCACAUGGGGCCAAGCUUAAACCAUGACACCAUGGGAGACAGCAGGUUGGGCUUCCAAGGGAGGGCAGGCAAUGGGAUAGUUGUCCAGCCAGCUCUGGACACCCAGGAAUGCUCCAGCACCAGUGGGUGAGCUGGGAAGUGAGCAGGAUGGGAAGUGAGCAGGACCCUGGGAAAGGGCAGGAAGUGGAGUGAACUGGCUUCUCUAACAAGCUCACCAGGACUAAGCCCCUUCAGGCAAUGAAUCUCGGCAUCAUUAUCACCCAGAGGUAACGCACUGAAAUUCUCCAUCAGCCUGGCACAUGCACUCCCCUUCAAGGGGGUGAACCUGCUUUUAGCAUCGUCUCUCCAUUUCAGGAGGAAAAUCCUGUAAAUACUGGCUCCUCGAGGUGGGCAUGAAGUGGUGGGUCUCAAACCCCAGCCCACACCACCCACAGGCAUCAGUCACAGCGCCCUGGCAGGGCUCAGUGCCGCAGCGUUUUGCCUCAGCAGGAGGUGGAUGCAGAUGCUGCCGGGAGGUGAGAUUCACUCGGCACUGCCAACAAAGCCUCUGGGGCUGGGCAGAAACCCUCUGGCAAGGGAAUGUUCUCCCUGAAAGCUGUGCCUGGUCCCGGGGGGGCAUUGGCAACUUAGGAAGAAGCCCGGCCUGGCUGCAGGGAGCAGGAGGCAGCCGGUACGGAAUGCAGGUUGCGGCCGGCCCAUGCUGGUAGCCGACGCUCUCCCAUUGUGGUUUCAUUUGGGUCCUGUGGUCUCUGCCCCAAAAGCAGGUGCACCCCCAGCCCUCCCAGGGCUCUCUGCCCCACGGGGGCAGAAAUUUGGGAUGAUCUGUGUUGCCUGCAAAAGUCACCCACACAGGGCUGACCCAGAGGCUCUGAGGCUGUUUGUUCUCAUGGCAGGACCAAGCCUGGGCCUCACUCAGCUUCACUUCACCCCUGCCCACUCCCAUCCCGUGGGGAGGAGCAAAGCUGCUGCCCUGCAGAGGUGGUUUUGCUGGAGGUCCCUCCUGCAGCCUUUGCCACCCCUGGCCACAACCAGGUAGGGUUGAACAGCUCAGGAGCAGGGCAGGGCGCUGGCCCUGGUGUGGCACAACCUGAACUGUCAGGUCUCAGCUCCAGUAGUGGGUCUGAUGGCAAGGGCCCUAUCCCCUCCAGCUAUGACAUCCCUUCCUUCUGCUGUGCCCUAGGGCAGGGGGUCCUUAUUGCAAGACCCCAUUUCCCACAAAAGAAAAACCCAAAUGCACCCCAGAGGCCAGAAAUGUAGCUCAGCCCUGUGGGGCUCAGACUGCUGGGUGGUGGGUUACAAGUGCCAGGGCUGGUGCUCACUGCCCUCCACCUCAGGAC
rnacentral:lncRNA from 1 species